GCCCGGAUGGCGAAAUGGCAUACGCAGCAGACUCAAAAUCUGCCACCCGUGAGGGUUUGUGGGUUCGAGUCCCACUCCGGGCA
rnacentral:tRNA from 1 species